AUUAAAGAGAGCAUCUGCCUGGGGCUGUGAACAGGACUUUCAACUGAACUAAUAGGGAAAAAACAUCUGCAAAUACACAGAUCCAAUUUAAUAUAGAAGUAGUCUGAAGAUCUGGUUUUUUUCUUUGGGGGGCCUCAAAAUAUGGGUAAAAACACUUGGUCAUCAAUUGUUGAAAUUCUCAUGUUUGACCUGUAUGUAAAGAAGUGAAGGAAACCAUACUUGUGAAGAAACCAUACUUGUGAGAGAAAAUAGCUGAGCUCCUGAGCAAGGUAAGUAUAUUACUUUAAAGUUUGUACAACUAAACACAGUUUCCGUGAGAUCAUUAUUUUCUAGCAACAGUGAUCCACGGUGUGCAUUGAGUGAAAGGACCCAGGAAAUGCAGUCAUUGGAGCCUAAUUCUUUACUUAAUUAUUUGAGCAAGACUACAUCAAUGAGGCAUGGCAAUGCUAUUUGUCUCUAUACUGACUUGCAUUCUAGUGCUUUAAAGAAAAGCUACAUCACCUACAGUAAUGUUCAAGAUACCUCAAACAUCACAUCAAGGGCAAGGACAAUACCAAGCUGGUGCCCUGACAACAAUGCUAUUCAGCCUAGGGAGCUUAUGCAAUAUUCUGUUAGUCAACAUGGUGGAACCCAUGUAGAAAACAUACUAGUCUGUACAUGAAGUACACUAGUUCUUUAGUUAGUAACAGUGGAAUAAGUAUUCACCAACACUAAAUUAGUUUUGUGGAGGGUCUAGUUUCAUGGUAUGAAUCCUAAAGUGAGAGUUCUAAAUGGGAGACAAGUCUCUUGUGUUUCUCUCUCGUAGACAGAAACUUCCCUCUCUUUGGCUGAGUAAUAUCACUGACAGGAAGGGGGAACAUCUCGUUUUUGAGUUAAUAGACAUUUUUCUGGGCAGCUUGCAGUGUCUGGCCUCUACUAUUUAAUGUAACUAAUUUAUGACAGCUUACUUUAAAAAGUGUUCCAAGGAAACAGUUGCCUAUCAGACAUCCACCUUUACUUUGGAAUCCAGAACCCCGAGCAACCAGCAUAUAGUCAUUUUAGAGUUGGUAUUUGUUAAAUAACUGUUCCUACCCUCCUCUAUUCCCCUCAAGGUGCUAAGCCCUUUAAUGCUAUAUCCUAUAGUAUUUGACAGCAAAGGAAUUGCAUUUUUUUACAGCAACAAUUUUGCUGUAUUACAGGUACAGGAUAGUACACAUGAACAGCAUUAGUAGUAAUCCCAAAUAAUAUUUAUACACAAUGUGGCUGACCUAAUUUCAGGCUUUUUAUAUCUAGAUUCUCAGCCCUGAAUUGCAUUGCAACAGUUGAACAUUGCUGUCAGCACUGUCUUAACUCAGUCCUGGUCUACACUACACAGGUCAACAUAAGGCAGCUUACAUGGACCUAAUUAUGUCAGUGUCUACACUACAGCCUUGUCCUGCCAAUAUGUGCUCUCACCACUGUGUUGUCAAGAGAUUCUUGUUCCCCUGGUCAGUUACAUGCAAGUCCUCUGGAGCCAGAUUGGGGAUCCCUUAUUCAACCUCAGGAGCACUUAAUCACUGGCGUGGUUUAAUUGAAAUCAAUGUUACUAAUUGGAUGAGUCUGAGCUCAACAAUCUGGCCUUUUAUUAUUUCCUGCACAUAUUAACUACGACUCCUAAGAGGGGGGGACGUUACAAAAAGAAACUGACAGAAGUUAGAUCUCAAAUCAGGAGCUACUAGUAGCAUUGAAUAGGAGAGAUAGAUAUGGUGAUCAUUUGUUAAAGCCUCAAGAGAGAAGGAACUGGUGGCUUGACAAAACAAGUGAUGUAUGUGCAGGACAGAUAUAAAAUGAUCAUACAUACAGAAGUCUUCUCCCCUAGAAAAAUGAUUUUCUUCAGUGUCAUGCUAGAGGCCUGAUCUUCCACCAUGGGCUGUCCAGGAACGUUUUGCCACUAAAUGAAUGCAGGAUCAGGCUUUCUGUUAGUUAGUAGAAACUCUAGUGAAUGUCAUGCCUACUUAAUUAGAGCAAUAAUCGGGUAACAAACUGCAGAGAAUCUAUUUCAGUGACUGAACAAUGGAUUAAUGGCAUAUUUGGUCUGUUGAAAUGGAACCUGUGAACCCAUUCGCAGUCAUUAAAAACUGUUGGUUGUCUAGCUUCCUACUGGCAGCUUUUUGUUAAUUCUUUCUGCUUUCCUUUUGUAUGCUGGCUCACUGAGUUGAUCUUUUAAUAUAAUUCUUUCAAAUAAGCAGUGUAAACAAUAUUUAAGGAACUUAUGAAAUAAGGGAUUUUUUCUGCACAACAUACUCCCGAGCAUUGGGAUAGCUGGUUAUCUGCUGUGUAUGUUUCCAUCAGCGAGCAAAUGAAAGAUUUUGCUGUACUGACAGAUUUUAGUUUCUGUAAGCAAAUUAUCCGUUUUAAAUUAAGAACCUAAUUUUUUGUAAUGUUACUAACUCUCCCUAAGGCUACACGUAUAUUCACUUUGUUACAUAAGUAUUAGAAAGAGAUGUUAGAAAAAUGAGUAAUAUAAUUUUUAUUUAGAA